AGUGGGGCUCGUGUUCCACAAACGUCUUCUCAUUCGAUCGUUCGGACGGACAACGAGUGCCUACUCUUUCUCUCGCAUACGGAACUCUCUCAAUGUGAGUGGGGUCAUUGUGCCUUCUUCCCUAAUCGUUAAGCGUUUAUCGCUUCACCCGAAUGACGAUUUUGCCUUGUCCUUGAUCGCGCAAAGCCCUCGGGCUUCGAGGCGGAUCAUGCUGCAGCGGACGUCGUGAAGAAAUGC
rnacentral:misc_RNA from 1 species